AAAAAACCAGUGUUUAAAGUUGGAUCACGGCUUCAUUUUCGCAGCGCUCUGUCCAUGGUGGUGCAGGUUUCCCACUGCCUGCAGGAGUACCAGAGGCUGCUGCUGCCUGUCCCCUCCUGCUGAAUUUCCAGGUGAAGCCAGUCUGUCAGCUCCCACAGCUGCCUUGUGCCUGAUUAAAGUCAGGGAAGGCACCAGUGCUGCCCAUGCCAAGCACAGGGCAGCUCCCUUGGGGCAGGAGCUGCUGCAGAGGAGCCCCAGCUGUGCUGCUUUGUGCUGGGGGUGCCAGCAGUGCUC
rnacentral:lncRNA from 12 species